AGGCUGUAGCUAGUUUGCAGCUAUGUUGUAGGCAGAACCCUGCUCUCUCAUCAUGCUGUUCCUUCCUCACAUUUUAUGCUGUACUUGUAGUGUGGACUUCUUCUCCAAUGGUGCAGUGAAGUGACUCAAUGAACAUCUGGAUGGAUGAGAUGAUGCCUUUUUUAUCUCUUAAAACAUCACCAAAGAAAGGACUAGAGUUGAGAAGUGGAAUACCUGGAAGAAGAAGGUGGUAGAUUGAAAGAUUCAAGCUUGUUCACCAAGGCAGUGAAAGCUGUCUCCAACAGGUGAAUUCAGAGCCAAGCAAAGCCUGAACGUUCAAGAAAGAAGCUUGAAAUAUUGCAGUUCUGGCUGGCAGGGUCAGUUACUAAGUCUUGAUUUGAACAGUUGAGGAAGUUCUGUGAAAAAGGAUCUGGAUCAGAGAAGGUGCCCAUUGUGUAUGCCACAGUAGUCUGCUUCCUUCUACAAGACCAAGCAUGUGAGUCUCUGCACAGUUACACUAGGACUUCCAGGAAACCUCUCUAACUUGUGCUCUCACACAGAAGUGACAUACUCAGGCAAGGUACUGCAUUAACAGUGGCAGUGGUAUCAGAUGUCCUGUGAGAGACUGAGAGUGCUGCAGGAAAUAAAAAGGCCUGCACCUCUGAAAGCACAGCCCCGCCCAGACUGCUCAUGCAUAGUGUUGCAUCGUAUAUGCCUCUGGAAUGAGAAAAGACAGAGCCAUGGGAGCUAAACUGUCCCUGGUGACCUUACAAAUUAAGUUGAAUCAGCGAGAAUUAAGCAGAAGGCAAAAUCUGCUUCCAUACUUCAUCUACCCUUUAAAUGAGAUUUACCCUGUGUUUGCCCAGUUUUGUGGCAUGUGUUUACAGAAGCAAGACUGUGUUUAGUGACUUACCUUUAUCUUCCCCUCUUGGAAAGGGUAAGUGCUUUCAUAGUGCUAGCCUUGUGCAGUGACCAGUAGUGUAUCUUUUCUUCUGCAAAGAGGAAAAAAUUUGUGUGUGCUCUCCAUGUGCAUGAUCGGGUGGCUGGCAAAGAAAGAAGACCAAAUAUUUGCGUGCUUAAAACCAGUGAUGAGGUGAGUCUUAUGUAAUGCUAGCAGGGGUAAUUCAAUGUCUCCUUUCCUUGCAAGAGGAGUUACCACACUUGUCCCAUGCUAGAUUGCUGCUGGUCAUUGAGGUAGCAUAUGUAUUUCUGUGUUAUGCUGGACUGUCUUGUCAAUAUGCAAUCUUCUACUCUGUGUUGCUUUUGCUACAUGUAGUACUACCUUAAGUAGCUGCAGUUUCAUAACAAUUAGGGUCUGGUUCUCCGAAAAAAGGCGGACAUGUCAAAGAUACAGUGGUUCCCACAAUAGGUAAAGCACUGCACUAAAUGCUCAUUAAUAAGACAAAGCUUGCAAAGUCAUAAUAAUAAUAGAAACAGAAGUGACAAGUGCUGAGUCAGUGUUUUGCGUGCAUAUAUGUUUCAAAUGUAUGCAAGGAAUCCUAUUAGAGCUUUAAAAUCAUUCUGAAGUCUUCGCCUCAGCAAGUUUUUGUACUCAUUUAGACUCCUGGUUUAUCAUUAUGAAGUGUAUUAACUUUCCCAUGUUUAAUGCUUAUUUCUGUCAUGAGAGAAAUAAACAAAUAAUAUUUUGCAAAUGGGUUUCUUGGGAAAAGAGGCUAAGUAGCAGCAGAGUAUCGCUUGCACUUACAGCUGAUUGCUUUAAAAAGCUGUUCCAGAGUUCAAAAGGUGAAAAAACAGACUUUGUGAACAUGUGCAUUUUACUUAUAUUUGCCUUUUUUCUGAGAACGGAUUUACAGAGUAGUCUUUUGACAGGCUUGAGGCAGUGCCAGUUAUUCAAGUCUUGCACGAAAGAGAAGAAAGCAGUAAGUUGUAUUUGCACAGUAUUUCUGUGAGACUGCUAGCCUCAAGUGUAGGCUGCUCCCUCCUGCUGCUACUAUAUAUACCUCAUAAAAGUCUGGUUUAAAGUGUAAUGAAGCCAUAGUGGGAAAAGAUGUGUUCCUUUCCCGCAAACAUUUAGAAACAAAUAAGCAUCUUCAUGAAACA